rnacentral:rRNA from 1 species
GACGAACUGUCCUAACGUUGUUCGGAAUCACUGGGCUUAAAGGGCGCGUAGGCGGUCCGACAAGUCAGGGGUGAAAUCCUGCAGCUUAACUGUAGAAGUGCCUCUGAUACUGUCGGUCUUGAGGGAGAUAGGGGUGUGCGGAACUUCCAGUGGAGCGGUGAAAUGCGUUGAUAUUGGAAGGAACGCCGGAGGCGAAAGCGGCGCACUGGAUCUCUUCUGACGCUGAGGCGCGAAAGCUAGGGGAGCAAAC